UGUGAAUAUUAAAGAUUUUUUUAAACUUAUUUAUUGAAAUAGAGUAUAUGAUUCCGGGCAAAUGCAGGGUAUUCGACUAGUAGAUAAUGAAAUUAGGAAUUGAAAGUGAUGGCAUUGUUGUGCAUAGGAGUGGGACAUGGGGUUAGCUUGAAGUUUGAAUAAUGUACGACGUUCAACUACCACAAAUGAACACAUGCGAGUAAGGUCAUCAAUCCUCCAUGGCCCUUCAAAAACAGGGCAAA